UAAUACAUAGGGUGCAAGCGUUGUCCGGAAUUAUUGGGCGUAAAGAGCUCGUAGGUCGUUUGACACGUCGGAUGUGAAAAUCUGAGGCUUAACCUCAGACCUGCAUUCGAUACGGUCAAACUAGAGUGUGGUAGGGGAGACUGGAAUUCCUGGUGUAGCGGUGGAAUGCGCAGAUAUCAGGAGGAACACCAAUGGCGAAGGCAGGUCUCUGGGCCAUUACUGACACUGAGGAGCGAAAGCGCGGGGAGCGAACAGGAUUAGAUACCCUGGUAGUCCGCGCCGUAAACGGUGGGCACUAGUUGUGGGAACCUUCCACGGUUUCCGCGACGCAGCUAACGCAUUAAGUGCCCCGCCUGGGGAGUACGAUCGCAAGAUUAAAACUCAAAGGAAUUGACGGGGCCCGCACAAGCAGCGGAGCAUGCGGCUUAAUUCGACGCAACGCGAAGAACCUUACCAAGGCUUGACAGUUAGAGAAAAGCUACAGAGAUGUAGUGUCCGCAA
rnacentral:rRNA from 1 species